AUUGAGCGCUGGCGGCAUGCCUUACACAUGCAAGUCGAACGGUAACAGGUCUUCGGAUGCUGACGAGUGGCGAACGGGUGAGUAAUGCAUCGGAACGUGCCCAGUUGUGGGGGAUAACUGCUCGAAAGAGCAGCUAAUACCGCAUACGACCUGAGGGUGAAAGCGGGGAUCGCAAGACCUCGCGCAAUUGGAGCGGCCGAUGUCAGAUUAGGUAGUUGGUGGGGUAAAGGCCUACCAAGCCGACGAUCUGUAGUUGGUCUGAGAGGACGACCAGCCACACUGGGACUGAGACACGGCCCAGACUCCUACGGGAGGCAGCAGUGGGGAAUUUUGGACAAUGGGCGCAAGCCUGAUCCAGCAAUGCCGCGUGCAGGAAGAAGGCCUUCGGGUUGUAAACUGCUUUUGUCAGGGAAGAAAUCCUCUGGGUUAAUACCCCGGGGGGAUGACGGUACCUGAAGAAUAAGCACCGGCUAACUACGUGCCAGCCGCCGCGGUAA
rnacentral:rRNA from 1 species